rnacentral:lncRNA from 1 species
CCCCCUCGUGGGGAAGGUAGAAGGUGGGGUCUGCCGGACGCGUGUUCCUGCCACCAGGUGCCCGCUCCCCGCGAGGCCGGCUCAGGAGCAGAAGGAAGCCCGGUGCCAGCCAGCCUUCCUGAAAGACCAAGCCCGCGCCAUCCGGCUUCCUCCAGUGGACGCCUGCAGGACCCAGGAACACUACAUCAACACUGUUGGCGGGGACCUGGACACAGAAGACUCCUGUUUCAAGAAAAUACAAUCAUCUCUCAAAGGCUGUAAUUUAUAUGCAUUUUAAAACUCUAGGCAUUGAAAACCACCCAAGUGUCCCAAAUAGAAGGGUAAUAUAUAAUCAAUCACUCAGUGUAAUAUUAUACAUCCUUUAAAAAUGUUAUUGGGAAAUGUUUUAUGAUCUGUAAGUCCAAGGAAUCCUCUCCCACCAUUUCUUUCCCCCCGCUGUUCCCCCAUACCCACACUUCUUUGUUCCAAUUGGCAUGUAAAUUUGGUUUUCCCGCCAAAUGAGUCAGUCAUGAUGGGAACCUCAACUGAUUUGAACAGAUGUGUGUCAAUGUUACUUGGAAAACUAGAUGUCAAUAACCAGGGUCACAGAAAAAGGCAGUGGUCACAACUCUGUAAAAAUGUAUGCAUGCACACAGACAAGAACUAAAGUGGAACCCCACACAGGAAAACAGUGGGCUGUACUCCAGUGCUGGGACAUUGAAUGACUGUAUGCUGCUUUUGAUUUCCGUUAAUAUGGGCAACUGUCCAAUUAAAAAAAAAACUCCUAAGGACUCUGCAGUGCAAAUUGUUUUGCUGAUUGUUUUAAAACACCAUACCUAUCAACUCAUCAAGGCAAAUGGGGCAGCGGGGGACUGGGUUCGUUCCCUGAAUCCUGGACUGCUAUAGAGCUCAGGGCAACAUUUGCAGAAAACCUGAGCCUAUGAGAUGGGAGUUAUAGGCAGCUUUCCUGAGGCUGUGUAAGAUGAAAAUAAAACUAGGUUCAAAAAA